GGUAUGUGACUGUAGGUGGAGGUAAAGUGGUAUGGGACUGCAGGUGGAGGUAUGGGACUGUAGGUGGAGGUAAAGAGGUAUGGGACUGUAGGUGGAGGUAUAGAGGUAUGAGACUGUAGGUGGAGGUAUAGAGGUAUGGGACUGUAGGUGGAGGUAUAGAGGUAUGGGACUGUAGGUGGAGGUAUAGAGGUAUGGGACUGUAGGUGGAGGUAUAGAGGUAUGGGACUGUAGGUGGAGGUAUAGAGGUAUGGGACUGUAGGUGGAGGUAUAGAGGUAUGGGACUGUAGGUGGAGGUAUAGAGGUAUGGGACUGUAGGUGGAGUGAAAGAGGUAUGUCAACAUCGGCAGACUCAACAGCCUUGGUUUCUCAAAUGACUGCCUCACC
rnacentral:lncRNA from 1 species